UACAGGGGGUGCAAACGUUGCUCGGAAUCAUUGGGCGUAAAGCGCACGUAGGCGGUCUGUUAUGUCGGAUGUGAAAGCCCUUGGCUCAACUGAGGAAGUGCAUCCGAAACUGGCAGGCUAGAGUACUAAAGAGGAUCGCGGAAUUCCCGGUGUAGAGGUGAAAUUCGUAGAUAUCGGGAGGAACACCAGUGGCGAAGGCGGCUUCCUGGCCUGUUCUUGACGCUGAGGCGCGAAAGCUAGGGGAGCAAACGGG
rnacentral:rRNA from 1 species